UAUUUUAUAUAUACAUGCAUAUCUAUUUGUGUGUGUGUGUGUGUGUGUGUGUGUAUAAAUAUUGGCUUUGAUCCACAGUGAGUCUUUAAAGAUCAAUAAAAAUGGAUGAUGUCAGGAAGCUGUUUUUGGCCUUAUAGGCCAGGAAAAAGGAAAAUGUUUUGAAAGGGUAGACAGGAACACUUCCACAGCUCAGUUGCUAUCACUACUUUUCAUAUUUAAAGUUAACACAAGCUGCUCGUCUGAAUCCCAAUGGAAAAGGUGAAUGGAUAUUCCAGUUCUGUACCUUUAUCAAAUUCAGAUGUACCUUAGAUUCCUUUCAGUUUGUUUCCUGUAGUAUUAGGAUUAACAGCAGCAACAACAAAAAUCCUCCCAGCUCAGAUAUUUAGGAAGAAGAACCCAUUUUGAAUCUGUGUUUAUGUGCCCCCUGUUCUCAGAUGCUAUGUGUGUUGAAGGAGCAGUUGUUCAUUUUGUAGGUGCCAGUGUCAGGGAAUGAGGGAUCCAAGUGGUCCCAAGCACCUAGGCUUUGGUAAUCUCAGAGCAGGGUGAGAGUCUGCUGGGUCAGAACUGUCUUCCCUCUGGGUGUGGUGCCUCCUCUCUGCACUGUAGUGUUCCCUGAGAGCAAGCCCAGGAAACGCCACUUAGUAACGAGGAAAGCUUUCUCCUUAUGUGAGUUUUCUAAUUAAAAUGUUUUCCAUCUGAUGGGGAAGUGUGUGAAUAUCAAGAACUGGAAAUUAAGCAAGAAAUUAAAAGAACAUUAAUGGUUUCUUUGCAAUUUGUUUUGAGGUUUUCCUCACUAAGUGGUAUUUUGCUUACAAAGUCACCCUUUCACACAUAAAUCUUUAUGACAAAUGGACUGGAAUAUAUCCCAGCAAAAGAAGAGCUAUGGUGUCAUGUGUAAAUUAUAUCACACAUUGUGAAAGAGAACCCAAAGCAUUCACUUUUUAAAAAAGCAUUGUUAGUGCAGUUACUUAAUUGGUGUAUACAAAAUUAUAGUUUAUUUGAAAGUGAAGGUUGGUUUGUCUAGAGGACUGGAAGAAUAAGUGUUCUGACAUUUGUUCAUUGUUUGAAUUUACACUCCAGACACCAGAAUGCUCAAUAAAUCCAAAGUGUGAUUUACUGACUCUUUAAAAAGUUCACUGCUGAAACUUUAUCCAUCGCAACCAGUGUCCCUUCACCCCGAGGUCUUAAAAUUUUGGUAGCAGAGAGCAAAUGUGCAGAGAGCAAUGGAAAACAAGUCAGAAGCUGCUGUCUGAUUCCAGAGAAGGUCACAUUUUAUGCAAAAAGAAAAAAAGUAAUUUACAUUUGAUCACCUUGAGAUCUUCAAUUUGUCAUUGUGAUAUCUUAAGUAACUAAUGAUUAAGUGAAAUAAAUCUUGGGAAAAUAGAUCACAAAUGGAAUGAGGACUUUGCAUUGUAAGAAACCCACAACUCUUUUCUUUUCACAACAUGACCUUUUUAAAAAGUACCUUAUUGCAGGCUUGUGAAGGUGGCUGGCCUCUGAGCACUGGGCACAUGCCUGAAAGUGAUAGGCCUUUUUUAUUUACCUUGAUCCGCUGGAAUUAAACAGUCAUGCUUAUAUUCAGUUAGUUUGAGGUUUGGUUGGAAUUCAGUUCCAAAUUGGCGAAAGAAAUGAGCAUCCAGCCCCUCUUCCUCAUAUUGUCCAACUUGCCUUAUGAGACUCAUAUGCACAGUAUUCCCUGUUUAAACUGAAGUCACUCACUUGACUCUGUCCCUGCAGUAGUCCCUAAGGAAGGUAAACGAACAGAUAUCUUGAGACUUCCUUCUGCAUCAGUAGUUUUGAUAGUUUCAAGGCCACUGUGGAAUUCACCUGUAGUCUGUUAGGACCUUACCUUACUUAGGAACAUUAGUCCUUUUACUCACACACCCUCCAGUAUCCCUUUGGAAUGCAGUGUUUUUCUAACCCAUGAAACUGGUCUAGAAAGUACAGUAGCAAGUGCUGGGAAUUGAAGUCCACCUUCCUAGUGCUGUGCUUCACAAAUAGUCUCUAGCUGGGGGCCUCUCAGAGCAUGGUGUUCUGUUAUAUCAAUAUGUACUUAGACAUGCUAAUCUGAAUUAGAGAGCCGAUAUACAUAAUGACUCCCCUGGGAUGCUAUAUUAGAAAAAAAACAAAACAAAAACUGAAGUAGUUUGCUGAAUAUGCAUAGGAAGCUAAAAAAUAAAAUCCUUCUAAAAUGAGCGUUAAUUGAAUCUGGACCUUGAUCAUCUUUGAACCUCUAAUUUUUAAUUUGAUCCUUUAAAAAAGUUUUAUAGGUUCUUGAAGACAAAAUCUACAACUCAAUAAAAGUUAUGCUGUAGUGAUUGCCUAAAGACUGUACAAAGCCCAAUUUUGAGGUAUUGUUGCUCCAUGUAUACACAGCAUGUGUGGGGUAGAUGUAUAUAUAUGUACAUGUUCAUGCAUACACAUACCAACUAUAUGUGCUUAAUCUAUGCUGUAGUUUGCCUUUAUUCAGAUUUCUCCUCUCUCUGCCUCUAGAAAUGGGGCAAAUUUUCUUCAGUUAAAAACAGAAAUAGAAGCGCCGGCCUUGACCCAUUUUAUACCUGUUUAUUUCAGGCUCUCACCACACACUUGUUCAUGGGCACAGCAAGAAGAGGGAUCCACAGAGCUGGAGCCGUGAGGUCUGACACAUUGGGGUGAAGCUGGCAAAAUUCGUAGGGAGAGCUUUACCAUCCUGCCAGCUCCAUAUCUGGCCUCAAGACAGUUCUAUUAGUGAAUUAAUUGUACUCAAAACCUCAAAUUCAUUUGAACCGAAUGUUACUAAAAAUGAAAUAGAUCAAAGUGACCUCCUCUUGCCUCAUCCAGAGUGAUUGUGAAGGAGCCCAUGGCCUCAUUUAUCUCUGGAGAGCAGGUCUCCACCUGUGUGCCUCCUGGUCCUGGGGUUUUUCGUGCCCGUCCCUGAUGCUACUCUGCCCGCAGUCCCUCAGCAGGCUUCCAUUUCUUACUGGCACUUCACUCCCCUGGAAUCUCUUUAUGUUGAUUACUGUUUGUCUCCCACAAGAAUGGAAGCUCCAUGAGAGCAGGGUCUCUGUCUUGUUCCAUGUCCCAGUGCAUAGGACAGUGCCUGGCACAGUAGAGUUUCAAUAAACGCUAUUGAAUGAA